rnacentral:rRNA from 1 species
UACGUAGGGUGCAAGCGUUAAUCGGAAUUACUGGGCGUAAAGCGUGCGCAGGCGGUUUUGUAAGUCUGUCGUGAAAUCCCCCGGGCUCAACCUGGGAAUUGCGAUGGAGACUGCAAGGCUAGAAUCUGGCAGAGGGGGGUAGAAUUCCAUGUGUAGCAGUGAAAUGCGUAGAGAUGUGGAGGAACACCGAUGGCGAAGGCAGCCCCCUGGGUCAAGAUUGACGCUCAUGCACGAAAGCGUGGGGAGCAAACAGG